GACGAACGCUGGCGGCGUGCUUAACACAUGCAAGUCGAACGGAAAGGCCUCUUUCGGGGGGUACUCGAGUGGCGAACGGGUGAGUAACACGUGAGUAACCUGCCCUUGACUUUGGGAUAACUUCAGGAAACUGGGGCUAAUACCGGAUAGGAGCUCCUGCUGCAUGGUGGGGGUUGGAAAGUUUCGGCGGUUGGGGAUGGACUCGCGGCUUAUCAGCUUGUUGGUGGGGUAGUGGCUUACCAAGGCUUUGACGGGUAGCCGGCCUGAGAGGGUGACCGGCCACAUUGGGACUGAGAUACGGCCCAGACUCCUACGGGAGGCAGCAGUGGGGAAUAUUGCACAAUGGGUGGAAGCCUGAUGCAGCAACGCCGUGUGCGGGAUGACGGCCUUCGAGUUGUAAACCGCUUUCGCUCAUGACGAAGCUUUGUGUGACGGUAGUGGGUAAAGAAGCACCGGCUAACUACGUG
rnacentral:rRNA from 1 species